GUACUCACUUUAGCAGCAGCUAGACGAAAGCUGGAACGAUCCUGGGAAGAGCAGCAUUGCCCCUGCACAAAGGUGAGACACAAAUUUGUGAAGGAAAAAAAAAUGGU
rnacentral:snRNA from 14 species